UUUAGGCUGGGUACGCAACUGAAGAGAUUGUUUAGUCGAAGAACUUUUCUCUUCCGGUGAUCCAAAUUCACUCAAGAACAACCGAAAUUCUUCGUAUCCUUCACUGAAUCUCAACAACAACAAUUCCUUCCGAAGGUGUAUGUUCGUCUCUCUGAAGAAUAGAUAUGAGCAGAUAGAUUAAUUCUAGGCUUUGUUCUUUUAAUCCUUACUGCGUCAAUCUCAAACUCUGUAAAGAAGUAGUUGUUUCGAGGAGGAUUAAUCUAUUGAUAUGGGUUUUUCGAGAUUAGGGUUAUUGAGAACUGAGAUUGAUGAUUAAGUCAAAAUAUUUGAAAAUUUUCAGAAUCUAGGGUUUGGUUUGGGGAAGAGCAGCUGACUGUGUCUGAAUCGGUAAGAAUGAGAAUGGGUUAAUUGAAGAUGGGGGUUGGAGAGUUCUUGGAUGAUGAUUAGAGUUGGGUUCACCUCGAUUUGCAACCAGAUGAAGAAAUCAAUCGAGAAGAUAUAUUCCAGGUUCAAAUUGUUAGUUUUUCCAGAUUUUGAUAUCUGGAAUUUGAAGCCACCAACCGUCCCAUAAGACUCAUGGAGCUCCAUUGGAUAACAGAGUGCUAUUAGAUGAAGAACUGUAAGAAAUGGUCCCAGAGACCGUGGUAGAUGGAACGUCUAGAAAGUAGAUAAACUGUUGCUUGAAUAAUGACUAGGUGUAAGUUCGGCAACAGGUACCUUGAGAAGCUUAUCAGGUUAUGAGCGAUCCAGCGCGAAGAAAAACUUAGAUGGGAAUGUGAAGUUUUGUAUAUAUAGGUACGUUAAAAGAAUUGGAAUUUGAAUAUAACAGAAAAUAUCAGGCGUGUUUCUUUCUUACUGUUGUGCAUAUAUCUUCCGUUUAUAAAUAUGCGUGUUCCAAUUUUUCGAUUGGGGUUAAAAAGAGUUGAAAUAGGUACCCAGUUUUCCAGAAUUCUAUCUCAAUGCAACUCAUAUUCUGCCCUUUAACAGUUACCAGUAUUCCGUCCUCCAGUUUAUCUUGCAUCCAAACACAAAUUGAUCAUUGGUACUAAACAGAGGUAACUGUCACUAAUAUUCCCAUGUCAGUAUUUGCAUUGAUUGUUAAAAAUGUAUUCUGUAGUUUAAUUUUUCUUCAUGUCCAUGUCUGUGAUGUCACUUGAAAUGGCAGUCAGGGAGAAUUAUUUACCUUUACUUGCCAACCAUUUAUAAGUUUAUUCAAGAUCUGCACUUUUUUGGUACCAGUGGUGACAAUGAGAAUGAGCUCAAGCCACUGUUCUUCGGGCAUUCUUGAAUGCUGAGAUUAAAGAUGAUAAUUAGUUGACGUCCUUCUUGCCCCAUUGUCCCUGGAACAACUUAGUUAAAAUGACAGUACUCGAGAACUUGGAUGUUGUCCUUUUAUACCCAGCUAAGAAUGUUGAUGAAGAGUGUGCACGUACAACUUAUUUAUGUGACUAAUAUGUUUCCUCAAUUGUGUAGCAUUUAGCAUUAAUUUCAUCUGUAUGUUCUUGAUCGACAUAGCAUUUAACAUUAAUUUCAUUUGUAUAUUCUUGAUCGACAACCUGCAUAAACAUUUGACGAUCCGUUAUAGCUCAGUUAUGCACAAGGGUUAUAUACUGUACUCUCGCGAUGACCUAAGACCAACUAAUGAUACGCUGUGAUGGUGCGUCAAUUGGCAAUCCAGGGCUAGCAGGAGCAAGCAGGUGAUGUUUUUAGAAAUGCUAAUGGUGAUUGCUUGGGCACUCGAGCUGUUUCCUUGGGAAUUCAGAGCAAUUAUAUGGCUGAAGUGAUAGCUAUUGCAGUUGGCUCUGAAUGGGCAGUUGGUUGGAAUGUCAAUCGUAUUAUCGAUGUCUCAAAUUUGGCAAGUGUCUAACUGUGACGGGCGGAGAAGGGUUUAGCGUUUAUAUGGUAAGACUUCUUUCAAGCAAACUUUUAGAGAGGUGAACUUUGUGGCGAAAACGAUGUGAAAAUAUGCAGCUCACUUACAAAUUGGAGAUGUUGAGAGAACUGUUGGUGGACCUGCUUACUUAAAAAAUUUAGAGGGGCAGAAUCAAGCAAUUAAUAUCAUGCACUCAGGGGGUGGGGAUGAACAGCAGGGAACAAUGAAGAUCCAGCAACAAGGGACAGUUUAUACACCAUUCGUCGAUCUUGAACCAGGCAAGACAACUAACAAAAUUGUGAAAGUAUUGGUAUUGAAGAUGUGGAAAUUCGAAAACAAGAGUACUGGGAAAGUCUGGGGUCUUGAGAUUCAUCUUAUGGAUCAUGAGGGAAAUCAGAUUCAUGCUAAGGUGGGAAAGGAUUACGUGGAGUUGUUCCCGGGAAUGAUGAAGGAUGUGUGUAUUCUAUUCGAAGAUUUAGAUUUGAAUUGCCAACAACUGGUUACCGCAUCGUUUUUUUGAGUAUGUUAUGUUGCUGAACAUGCUUGCAAAUAUAGAAAAGCUGAAUGAUGACCCAAAAACAUUUCUAAAGACGAUUGGUGAUGGUGAUGUCUUGAUGCGAGAAAUUAUGAUCGAAAACGGGGGGGGAUGCAAUUAAAGUAACGCUGUGGGCUGAGUUGGUGAAAGUAAUUAGUGAUGAUUUAAUAAAAAGUUCAGUGGAUGUGCCUGCGGUUGUAGUAGUUACUGGCACAACCGUAAAGGAACAUAUGGGUAAAUUUAAUUUAUGUUUUUGUGAUGUUAA